AUUUUCAAAAUGGUUUGUCCAGUAAAUGGAGAACAGUGGAAAUGGAAACAAGAUUCAGAUGCUGUUUAAAGUGGCUGUUCACCAAGUCCUCCAAUGUCCUGGACUUGAUAUAUAUGCUACUGUCUUCUAUACAGUAUUGUGCAGCAAGGUACACAAAAUCACGGCCACUUGUAGUGAAUGCCCACAUGUGACAAUAUAAGGCAGACACCCGAACUAACUUACUCGAUUGGACCUGCAGACGCUCAUUCAUAUCUUUGAAAGUUAGCAACUUAAAGAUUUGGAUCAACACACCAGUCAUUCCUCGGCUUGAACAACUCCAUCUACCACAAGGCAACAUAACUGUGGCAGGAAGUAUUUGCCAUAAUUACCACUUCAGUUUAAAUUCUAACUCCCAA